rnacentral:tRNA from 1 species
GCCCCUGUAGCUUAAUGGAUAAAGCACUUUCCUAACGAAAAAGGCGAUACCAGUUCAAAUCUGGUCAGGGGCG